UACGUAGGGCGCAAGCGUUGUCCGGAAUUAUUGGGCGUAAAGAGCUCGUAGGCGGUUUGUCGCGUCUGCUGUGAAAACCUAAGGCUCAACCUUGGGCUUGCAGUGGGUACGGGCAGACUAGAGUGCGGUAGGGGUGACUGGAAUUCCUGGUGUAGCGGUGGAAUGCGCAGAUAUCAGGAGGAACACCGGUGGCGAAGGCGGAUCUCUGGGCCGUAACUGACGCUGGAGGAGCGGAAAAGCAUGGGGAGCGAACAGG
rnacentral:rRNA from 1 species